rnacentral:rRNA from 1 species
UACGUAGGGUGCAAGCGUUGUCCGGAAUUAUUGGGCGUAAAGAGCUCGUAGGCGGUUUGUCGCGUCUGCUGUGAAAACUCAGGGCUUAACCCUGAGCCUGCAGUGGGUACGGGCAGACUAGAGUGUGGUAGGGGAGAUCGGAAUUCCUGGUGUAGCGGUGGAAUGCGCAGAUAUCAGGAGGAACACCGGUGGCGAAGGCGGCGAUCUGGACGAUGACUGACGCUGAGACGCGAAAGCGUGGGGAGCAAACAGG